CAGGAACUGGUGAACUUUUUGAAGUCCCCCAAGUUCUUAGCACAGCACUGUUGUCAAGAGUGUUGGCGGGUCGCGGUGGCUCACGCUUGUAAUCCCAGCACUUUGGGAGGCUGAGGCGGGGGGAUCAUGAGGUCAGGAGUUGGAGAACCGCUAGGCCAACACGGUGAAAGCCCGUCUCUACUAAAAACACAAAAAAAUUAGCCGAGCGUAGUGGCGGGCGCCAGCAGUCCCAGCUGCUCCGGAAGCUGAGGCAGGAGAAUGACGUGACCCCGGGAGGCGGAGCUUGCAGCGAACCGAUAUCGCGAUACUGCACUCCAGCCUGGGCGACAGAGCGAGACUCCCUCUCAAAAAAAAAAAAAAAACUGUUAGGUAUAUAUUACGGUAUAUAUAUUAAGGCAGACCUGGGUCGGUCUCAUACUGGAAUGCCUAUUAGCUGCAUGAGGGGAAACAGUAACCAGAAAGUAGAGGACUGGACAACAUCUGGACCAAGGGAUCAAAAUUAACAUCAAUAAGUCCUAGAAUCAGGCGUUUCUUUAAGAGGCCCUACUUCCUCUAAUUGGAUAAUUCUAGAAACCGGUAUUUGAAUCUGAG
rnacentral:lncRNA from 1 species